CCUCUAUGUCUUUCAGAAAAUAUUAUAAAAUUUCAAUUUAUAAAAGAAUAGAACCCCAAAAGGUGAAUCAGAUAUUCAGAUUACAAGAAAAAUAGAAACCUUCACCCUCUGCCUUCCAUCUCCGUUGCUGUCGCUCCUUGCAGAAGAAUCGGAUUACAAACUACUGAAAUGCUGCCAUUCACGCCUCUACCCAUUAAUCCAUUCUUCACUCCGGAUUCUUCUCUCUUUUUUAUUCUAUACGAUAGUAUCUGGUCUGGUGGUUCAUAUCUGUUGGGUUAAGGAGCUUCUGCAAUCAAGGGAGGAGGAUGUCGUAUCAGAUAUGAUAUUGACAGAUUACUCUGAUUGGAAAUGGAUGAGAAGAUAGGAAGAAAGUUUUUGAAUGUUUUGAAGAUUGUUGAGGAAGCGUUUUCUGUACAUGAGCAUUGAGGGAGCUCAUUAAGCUUAUCAAGGUUCUUAUCUUAUCUUUCUCAGUUUCCUCUUCCUUGUUUCCUUCUAACAAUGACCAAAUUUUAUUUUUUAUGAAUAGAUCUACAAGGAACCGUGAAGCUAUUGCAAUGUCUUUCCUUGUAGCAAAUGCAAUUGGUGCUCAUAUCAACGACCAUUGACUUUCUGCUGCCAUUCAUAUUAGCAUCAUUUGCUGCAAAUUUUCACUUUCACGGCUUCUCAAUACUUCGUUUCUCUGAAGUUAAUGUCAGCAUUCUUCGGCCAAAUCUAUAAGGACCGACUAGAAGAGAAUAGGGAUCUGUUAUCUGUCAGUCAAAGUACAUAGGCAUUUUGUUCUUGAGACUAGUUGGAGAUUUAAAUUGUGCAAUUGGGACUUUGUCUUCUCAAAUUUCUAUAGGCAGUAAGUAGUGAUUGUUCAUUCUUUUUUUUCCUUUUUUUUUUUUUUUUGGUUGUAUGUUAUAUUAUCUCUGGAAGAGGUGAUUAACUAGGAUCAAUGAAUCUGUAUCAAAUCUAAUUUUUGGACUGGUAAAUGAAUGGGCUGCUUGCUUCUUGGAUGAUCUUGAUUGUUUAGUGAGGGAG
rnacentral:lncRNA from 1 species